rnacentral:tRNA from 1 species
GUUUCCGUGGUGUAGUGGUUAUCACAUCCUCCUAACACGCGGAGGUCCCCGGUUCAAUCCCGGGCGGAAACA